rnacentral:misc_RNA from 1 species
AAGUCGUAACAAGGUUUCCGUAGGUGAACCUGCGGAAGGAUCAUUACAAAUCUUUUGCGAGUACUAGGUGCCUAAUAGUGCCUUGUAUUUCACAACAUUAGCACAAGGUCGCAAGGCCUUGAUGUUUACGCUUGUUUGUUUGACAGAGUUAGUUGAGACAAUAAUAAAGACAACUUUUAACAAUGGAUCUCUUGGCUCUU